rnacentral:tRNA from 1 species
GGUGGGAUGCGAGAGAGGCCUAUUCGGAUGGUUUCGAAAACCAAUCGGCUCGUAAGGGCCACGCAGGUUCGACUCCUGCUCCCACCG